rnacentral:rRNA from 1 species
CCUACGGGUGGCAGCAGUGAGGAAUAUUGGUCAAUGGGCGGAAGCCUGCACCAGCCAAGUCGCGUGAGGGAAUCAGGUCCUACGGGUCGUAAACCUCUUUUGCCGGGGAGCACGGGCGGGGACGUGUACCGGCCCGGAGAGUACCCGGAGAAAACGCAUCGGCUAACUCCGUGCCAGCAGCCGCGGUCAUACCGAGGAUGCGAGCGUUAUCCGGAUUUAUUGGGUUUAAAGGGUGCGUAGGCGGGCUUUUAAGUCAGCGUUAACAAUUCAGGGCUCAACCCCGGCCGGCCGUUGAAACUGGGUGCCUUGAGUGGGCGAGAAGAAGGCGGAAUGCGUGGUGUAGCGGUGAAAUGCAGAGAGAUCACGCAGAACCCCGAUUGCGAAGGCAGCCUUCCGGCGCCCUACUGACGCUGAGGCACGAAAGUGCGGGGAUCGAACAGGAUUAGAUACCCGUGUAGUC